rnacentral:rRNA from 1 species
UACGUAGGGCGCAAGCGUUAUCCGGAAUUAUUGGGCGUAAAGAGCUCGUAGGCGGUUUGUCGCGUCUGCCGUGAAAGUCCGGGGCUCAACUCCGGAUCUGCGGUGGGUACGGGCAGACUAGAGUGAUGUAGGGGAGGCUGGAAUUCCUGGUGUAGCGGUGAAAUGCGCAGAUAUCAGGAGGAACACCGAUGGCGAAGGCAGGUCUCUGGGCAUUAACUGACGCUGAGGAGCGAAAGCAUGGGGAGCAAACAGG